AGAGUUUGAUCCUGGCUCAGAUUGAACGCUGGCGGCGUGCUUAACACAUGCAAGUCGAACGAGAAAGGGACUUCGGUCCUGAGUAGAGUGGCGCACGGGUGAGUAACGCGUAGGUAAUCUACCUCUGCAUCUGGGAUAACACUUCGAAAGGGGUGCUAAUACCGGAUACACUUAUGGAUCGCAAGGUCUAUAAGGAAAGGAGACCUCUCCUUGGAAGUUUCUGUGUAGAGAUGAGCCUGCGUCCCAUUAGCUAGUUGGUAGGGUAAUGGCCUACCAAGGCGACGAUGGGUAGCGGGUCUGAGAGGAUGAUCCGCCACACUGGAACUGAAACACGGACCAGACUCCUACGGGAGGCAGCAGUGAGGAAUAUUGGACAAUGGGCGCAAGCCUGAUCCAGCGACGCCGCGUGAGUGAUGAAGGCCUUUGGGUCGUAAAGCUCUGUCAGCAGGGAAGAACGGCCGUGCGGUUAAUACCCGUGCGGAUUGACGGUACCUGCAGAGGAAGCACCGGCUAACUCCGUGCCAGCAGCCGCGGUAAUACGGAGGGUGCGAGCGUUAAUCGGAAUUACUGGGCGUAAAGGGCGCGUAGGCGGCCAAUCAAGUCAGAUGUGAAAGCCCACGGCUUAACCGUGUGAAGUGCAUCUGAAACUGGUUGGCUUGAGUAUCGGAGAGGAAAGUGGAAUUCCCGGUGUAGAGGUGAAAUUCGUAGAUAUCGGGAGGAAUACCGGUGGCGAAGGCGACUUUCUGGACGAAUACUGACGCUGAGGCGCGAAAGCGUGGGGAGCAAACAGGAUUAGAUACCCUGGUAGUCCACAGCUGUAAACGAUGUGCACUAGAUGUGGGGAAGUUGACCUUUCCUGUGUCGCAGCUAACGCAUUAAGUGCACCGCCUGGGGAGUACGGCCGCAAGGUUAAAACUCAAAGGAAUUGACGGGGGCCCGCACAAGCGGUGGAGUAUGUGGUUUAAUUCGACGCAACGCGCAGAACCUUACCUAGACUUGACAUCCCGGGAAUUUUCUGGAAACAGAGAAGUGCUUUAGCAAUAAAGAAUCCGGUGACAGGUGCUGCAUGGCUGUCGUCAGCUCGUGUCGUGAGAUGUUGGGUUAAGUCCCGCAACGAGCGCAACCCUCGCCUUUAGUUGCCAGCAUUCAGUUGGGCACUCUAGAGGGACUGCCGGUGUCAAACCGGAGGAAGGUGGGGAUGACGUCAAGUCCUCAUGGCCUUUAUGUCUAGGGCUACACACGUACUACAAUGGCCGGUACAAAGGGCAGCCACUCAGCGAUGAGGCGCUAAUCCCAUAAAGCCGGUCUCAGUCCGGAUCGCAGUCUGCAACUCGACUGCGUGAAGUUGGAAUCGCUAGUAAUCGUAGAUCAGCAUGCUACGGUGAAUACGUUCCCGGGCCUUGUACACACCGCCCGUCACACCACGAGAGUUGGUUGUUCCAGAAGCGGUUGAGCUAACCUUCGGGAAGCAGGCUGCCAAGGAAUGGUCGGUAAUUGGGGUGAAGUCGUAACAAGGUA
rnacentral:rRNA from 1 species